CCUACGGGCGGCAGCAGUGAGGAAUAUUGGUCAAUGGACGAGAGUCUGAACCAGCCAAGUAGCGUGAAGGAUGACUGCCCUAUGGGUUGUAAACUUCUUUUAUAUGGGAAUAAAAUGUUCCAUGUGUGGGAUUUUGUAUGUACCAUAUGAAUAAGGAUCGGCUAACUCCGCGCCAGCAGCCGCGGUAAUACGGAGGAUCCGAGCGUUAUCCGGAUUUAUUGGGUUUAAAGGGAGCGUAGGUGGAUUGUUAAGUCAGUUGUGAAAGUUUGCGGCUCAACCGUAAAAUUGCAGUUGAAACUGGCAGUCUUGAGUACAGUAGAGGUGGGCGGAAUUCGUAGUGUAGCGGUGAAAUGCUUAGAUAUCACGAAGAACUCCGAUUGCGAAGGCAGUUCACUGGACUGCAACUGACACUGAGGCUCGAAAGUGUGGGUAUCAAACAGGAUUAGAUACCCCAGUAGUC
rnacentral:rRNA from 1 species